rnacentral:rRNA from 1 species
UUGACCUGGAUCAGGUAGGAAUACCCGCUGAACUUAAGCAUAUCAAUAAGCGGAGGAA